UUAAGUGAGUUACUAACGGUAAGUGGAAGCUAAAUAUUCCUUGUAUAGUAGCAGACAUAUUCAGUCUUUGUAUUAAAAGGACGAGAAGGGAAAAUGUAAGUUAUCGUUGCUUACGUACUUGGACACGCACCUGUGACAGAGCUAUCCAAAAGUUUUACUUUAGAUGUCAAAGAUGGAAACAGCCAGGCAACAGCCAUCAACCAGCACAGCUGCUUGACCCUCAACCUUCAUGUCCUGAGAACAGAUGCAAAACACUGCGGACCUGCUGCAUCGCUUUAAAGUCUGUUUGCAGUUCUUUGCAGCUCACUGUUCAUCAAAACACCCUGACGCUCUGAUGAGACCUUGUUACUGCCAACGACUGUCAAGAAGUUUUGGUUAUUUGUACAGGAUUCAUUCUUGAUCUUGGGGACACAUGUAUGACCGAAGACGAUCAUGAGGCCACCAGUCUCCGGCCCCGCCGCUCUCUCAGGCCUCCAUCCUGCCAACUCCAGCCAGGAUGGUCUGCAGGACAUCGUGUAGCCAUGCUGGAGUCACUGAAAGCUGGCUUGCCCUGAGCUCUCAUCCUGCUCCAGGAGAAAUAGGCGGAAUCUGAUUACAGACCUAUUUUACAGCAGACGCCGGGGCGCAAUAAAGGGAGAGAGAGCACGGAAACGGGACUCGGCCCAUCAAUUAGAUCUCUAUUAGCAGCCAAUGCAGACCUCACCUCAGGAAACGCCGGGGCCCUGAAAUUAAACAAUUCUUCAAGCACGACAAGCCAGUCAACUCUGCUAUAUCUUUGAGAAAGGGAGAGGAGGUGGGGGGACGAAAGAUCCUACAAUAAAAACCAUAAAAAUACACUAUAUGGAAAAAGGAAAGAAGUCUUAGUGAUGAAAAAAGGCGCAUAAGACCUAAAAUUAAGAUGAGGUCACUGUUGGCUAUCAAGUGCAGGCUAUAAAUCCUUAAGUAAUCAUAUUUAGAUGUUAUAUUAAUGUCGGAUUUUCAAAAAUCAGAACGUACAGUAAGGUCAAAAACAUCGCUAUGCUCUCAGAGAUUAAAGAUGAGCCCUGUUAGUCACUUUAAAACCUGCUAAACCUAUGACAAGGUCAAAAUAUAAUGCAUUAAAUGAAUAUCAGAGUAAUAUAACAAUGAUUUUUCCCUUGUCCUAUAACCUCCUUCCGGUGCCAUUAAUCUCCAACUGUUGACCCGCUGACCUGAGGCGGGACAAAAUGUCAAUAUUGGAUAAUUAGCCGCAGCAUUAAGGCCAUUUAGAGAGGACACCUUGAGAGGCGUCUGCACGGUCAUUAAAUCAUAAUUGCUUUUUCGGGAAAUUAAAAGUUUUACUUUGCAAUUUAUUCAAAUUUGAUUCCAGGUCUGCUCCAAACGAGAGGAGAGAGCUGCUGCGAGAUGUCAGCUAACUGGAUUUUAGUCAGUAGGAUGUGGUAUUUCCGCGUUAACAGGGGUUUAUUGGGUGGGAAGACUGGAUCAGGUUCCUGCGAUCCCAGGGCAAAGAUUUCUAU